CCUGUUGGUGAGCGAACGACAGACAUAUCGUAAGUGUCAGGGUUAUAUCGGGCUGGCGGAAUUCCUUGAGUGCUGCGUCCACUGGUUCUUCUGGUUAGAUCUUGGUUUUGUGGCAUAAAACCGGCAGAAUUUCUUGAAUACAGGAAUAAACCUAAACUCGGCUGGCUCCCAAAUGACAAGACUGGCAGGAUUUCGGCAAAAUAAAAAGCUGCGUUUAUUUGGUUUGUUUGUUUACAAAUAGUGAGUUUA